CUGUCAACCUGUAACACGAUCAACAAGGUCAACUUUCCACGUUACCUUCAAGAAUCAUGAGCGUCAACCUGUUAUACUUGGAACAAGAGGCAGCUGGUCUACCUGCGACUGACCAGAACAGGAUCCAACGGGAGGUCCAGCAGCAGGUGUUUGAGACCUCCGCACCGGUUUGCCCCCUGUGGAUAGAGGUCGGCUACAAACGACCCCGCGCUCCUACCUCGACUUCAGAACACAACUGCAACCGAAGGCCUGUUUGUAAUUGGAAACUGUUCGGAAGUUCAUGCAAUGCGGCAUUGCUGUUCUGCUGUCGUGCGGGCACUGGGUGCGAGGCAGGAUUCAGCGCCUUCGCAUCUGGGGUUUGAUCCCGAUUCCCUUCUGUUUCUUGCCGCCGAGGAAGUGUCCCUUCUGUCAUCUCCAAAACUGUAGGCCUGUGGCACCUUUGUCCUUGGACAUGGCGGUAAGAUGAGCGUAAAGGCGCAGCUGGUGCCACCGUCACUCAUCGCCAUUCAUCAGCUUCCAGCUCCGGGCAGAAAAAAACAUUUGUCAUCUUGUUCCCGUG